UACGAAGGGGGCUAGCGUUGCUCGGAAUCACUGGGCGUAAAGGGUGCGUAGGCGGGUUUUUAAGUCAGGGGUGAAAUCCUGGAGCUCAACUCCAGAACUGCCUUUGAUACUGAAGAUCUUGAGUUCGGGAGAGGUGAGUGGAACUGCGAGUGUAGAGGUGAAAUUCGUAGAUAUUCGCAAGAACACCAGUGGCGAAGGCGGCUCACUGGAUCGGUACUGACGCUGAGGUGCGAAAGCGUGGGGAGCAAACAGG
rnacentral:rRNA from 1 species